rnacentral:rRNA from 1 species
CAGCCGUAAACAAUGUGCGUUAGGUGUGUCGGUAACCACGCGUUACUGAUGCGCCGAAGAGAAAUCGUGAAACGCACCACCUGGGAAGUACGGUCGCAAGGCUGAAACUUAAAGGAAUUGGCGGGGGAGCACCACAACAGGUGGAGCCUGCGGUUUAAUUGGAUUCAACGCCGGAAAUCUCACCGGAUAGGACAGACAUAUGAUAGUCGGGCUGAAGACUCUACUUGAUGAUCUGAGAGGAGGUGCAUGGCGUCAGUGACU